AUACAGAUGACGGGGAUGGGCGUGGCCUAUUCACCCAGGGCGAGGUUCAGCCAUUGCACCUCAGCUGUGCUGACCUUUGCAAAUUCCCCAAAUGUGGGAACUCGACUGCAUAAUUUCUGGUAGUGGGGACUGCGUUCACGCUCUCCUGA
rnacentral:snRNA from 1 species